ensembl:lncRNA
UUAUGACUUAUUUUUCAAGUACGCCUGCUGCGCGUCAGGGCCAGGUCCGCGUGGAUCUGCCUUUCCACGUGUUCUGCAUAGAACGUCACACCUGGAGAGGAGAUGACCAUGCACCACCAACGGGGAAAGGACUUCUUCCAUUGACCAUGCCUCCUCGGUCCCCUGGAGCGUGUGCUGAGUUAAGCUGAGGCCGUUUAUGUGUGUUUGCGUGACUAGGGCAUGGAUUGGAGGCAGUCUCCCUUCCCCAGAGGCAGCCCGUUGGAAAACAGGAGGGUCUGAGACUUCACGCUCUGCGACCCUCAGCCCUGACUCUCCUUUCAGAGGCUUUCUGUGGACCCCUUGAACAAAUACCUUUUGCCAAAGAGGAAGCCCCAGGCUGAAACAGAGAAGCACUGGGACCCUACAGCACUUGCUUUUCGUGGGGCAUUCUCAUCCCUUCUCUCUGCCUCUUCAGGGGCUGUCCACAGAGCCCCGCGCACAGGGGGCAGUGUUGGCAGAGCCCCUGACAUUGUCCCAAGUGCCACAGGCCUGUCUCCCAAGGGCCGGGGCGCCCCAGUGGCCCCCAGCACUCGGCCCUUCCCGUGCACCGAGAGGAAGCGCAGGAGCGGGGUGAGCGCUGAGCGGAGGAAGCGCGAGCCGGAGCCCGAGGAUGCGGGGCCCGCCUGGCUGUCUGCAGCAGAGUCUGCGUGUCCUCACAGGGCAGGGCCCGGGCGGCUGACUUGGCGUCCCAUCCCCUUCACAGUCCUGGCGGGCCUGGGGGCAAGCGGCUGCGAGGAGCGUGGGCUUUGCCAGGAGGGCUGGCGGUACAGGCCCGGGGUUGUAUUUGUCCCAGCGCCGCGCUGCUCCUCCAGGGACUGUGGCAGGGAUGCUGGCCAGAGCACCGCCUGCCCUGCGCUGAGGGGAACCAGACGGCAGCCCCGCCGCCGCGGCCCGCCCUGCCCAGCAGCAGCCAGAAGGCCGGUCCCUGGGGGGGAGGAAGGAAGACAGCGGAGAGAAUCAGACAAAGGAAGACCACCAUAAACCAGCAGCAUGUCUGUAAUCAGGAGGGCCCUUUGUUGAGAGCUGGUCUAAACAAGUUGUGAUCCCCUGGAAGGGGGCCAUAAACCGAAGCCAAAAUAAAGGUGUUUACAGCAAGGGAGACGGACGGGCUGCGGCCUCGUUUGGCCGCGAUGGGGGGGUACUGGUGGCCCUAAGGCCCCGCCUGCGCUCGGGGGACGCGUCCGAACAUCACAGAACAUCACAGACGCAAGCGCAGGGGAAGGGGGAGGCGCGGGAUGGGGGCGCCCAGGGACCCUCCCACAUUCCGGCCUGGGGGAGAGAGAGGGCAGGGUGCCAGGUCUGUGUGACAGCUGGAGAUUCAUGGCCAGAGGCCUGGAGAUCUUCGCCCAGCUUCUCCACUCCUCUACAAAGUCCUUUAUAAUGGACUCGAGGGAGUCACACUCCUAAGAGGGUUUGAGGGCAGUUGUUUCUUAAAGUAAUGCCUCUUAGGCCCAACUUAUCAGCCUGGAAAUGUGUGAGGAGGAAGUUUCACCCCAGGAUCCACCUUCGUCAGGGAAGCUUCGUGCCGUCUGUGAGCCAUGAGCAGAUGGGCAGCUGUUGGUGAAGGUGAGGCCUGAAAUGUCCCAAGGACCUCGUCCCUGAGCAGACCUUUCACCACUGCCUCUCCUCUGCUCUGUUUGCCAGUGUGGAACACAUGAACAUUUCACAGUCCUUCAUUCACUCAACAAACAUAAUGAGCAUUGACUCUAGGCCAGCCAGCCAGGUCAGAGGCUGCCCAGGUAUAGCACACGGUCCCAUCCUAGAGGAGGCAGCUGUAAACACAUAGGUACUCCUGUUCUUUAGAAGAGUAAUUCUUCCCAAGAAACCCAUGUCUGCUGGAAUGUGAUACUGCUGGAGAAUGGCAGUGCCAAGGAAGGCUAACAUGAUUCUUAGAAGGACAUGGUGCUGACGUCUCACUGUGUAAUCUGUUGUUUAUGCUCAGGAGGAAAGACUGCCAGACUUUUUUGAAAAAAGGGGUCACAUUCAUAUGGUAAUCAGAGGACAUGGAAGAUGCUUCAGGGCCUUUUUCCCUUUAAAAAAUUUGUUGUGACUCUUUAGUGGGCAAUGUUUGUCGAAGUGGCGCAACUGAGCUGGGUCCUCGCAAAUGCAGCUGAAAACGCCUCUCCCGACAGUCACAGACUCUCCCUCGACUCUUGGAUCAGCCUUGCCUGUGGAAGAGGCGAGCUUUGUUCUGUAACACCCAGUAUGCUCUCCUCAUGGGGAGAACAGGGAAGGAAAUUAGCCAGGAAGCCUGUCCAGUCCUUCAAACGCCUUUAUUUUCUAUAAUCUGUGAUCUCCUUAGGACUGUUUCCUAUCCGUAAGAUUGGCUAGUUUAUGAUCUCAGAGUUCCCUUCUAGCCAACAACAAAACAAAACAGGUAAGACUCUAAGUAACAAAGGGGCCUGAUUAAUUGUCCUGUAGGAAUCAUAUUAUAUCCACUUUGAGGAAGCAUUUCAGCUCCUCCGAGCAUUUGGUAAUAUACAACCAUCUAUGGGGUCUGGUGUAAGAGGCACCCGUCUCAAAGUCUCUGUCAGUGCUUGAUGCAAACUGCUCUGCUCUGCAAAGCUCAGUCACCUGGGAGAGAGGCCGGGGACCUCCUCUCCCUGAGUCGUGAGGUCCAAAGGGUGGAAGCAGGCUUCUUCCCUGACGGCAGUGAUCUGGCUGAUCUUGCUGCAGGUGGCCCCGUUGCUACUGUGAAGCAGAACGCUUGUCCUUCCUCCAUGAUGCUGAGUCACUGGCGUUCCUGUGAAAGGUGCGCAGGAGCCAGCACCAGACAGAGGCUCUCAGGUAGGGAGCGACCAGGGAGGAUGACACCAUCAAGAGAACCGGACAGAGGUCGGCUCACCCCACACAGGAGAUCCUAGGAGAAGCGAGUCCAUGGGGCUCAUGCACCCUCAGUCCUCAAAAACCAGUUCUUUGUGAGAGGAGAAAAUACAGUUCAGGAAGAGGGCGUGGGCUUCGAAAUCAGACAUUUGGUUUUGGAGCCCAUCUCCUCAGCUUAGUCACUGGACAAGUUAGCAUCUCUAAGCCUUUGUUGUCUCAUCUGUAAAAUAGGGAUAAUAAUAUCCCGCCUUCCCAGGGUCUUGUACAGGAUUACAUGAGAGGAUGUGGGUGAAGCUCCUGGCAUCGUGGCUUCCUGCCUUCCUUCUUUCCAGUGAAGCAAAGUUUACAAUCACUCCCCACAAAUUCUGAAAAAUGAAAAAUUGUGAGAACAGAAGUACCAAACACAGUAGAUGGGCUCUUCCUGUUUGUUUAGGAACCAUUUUGAAUUCCUUCCUCGAUGAUAAGCAAUUUCACUGCCCAUAGAUCCAGGGUGGAAUUGGUUUGAGGCUUUCAGGCCUUUCGUACAGUUCCUGCCACGUGCUUGGCACCGGAAUAGACAAGAGAGAUAUAAAGAUGACUGACAGCCCCCUAAGCAUAAGACGAUGAACACAGAAGCACAUAAUUUCAAAGGCACAAA